ACUGCAAGGCGGGGCGGGCCUGGCUGCCCACACCUCACUGCGCCCUCGGACCCUAAGCACACCUGCUCCUAGAGAGUUAUUAAUAGAGCCCCCAAAUGACUUACGCUUUCAAAUGAUUUUCCUGCAAAUCUGAUUUCUUGCAUGGCAAUUAGGAGGCUGCGGUUUCCGAGGCCCUCUCCAGCCAAGGAAAAGCUACACAAAAAGCCUGGAUCACUCAUUGAACCACCCCUGCAGCCAGUGAAGGCUCUCUCGCCUCGCCCUCUAGCGUUCGUCUGGAGUAGUGCCACCCCGGCUUCCUGGGGACACAGGAUUGGUACCAUGGGGUCCACCGGCGUCCCGCUGGUCAAGGCCCACCGCAGCUCGGUCUCUGACUACGUCAACUAUGAUAUCAUCGUCCGGCAUUACAACUACACGGGAAAGCUGAAUAUCAGCGCGGACAAGGAGAACAGCAUUAAACUGACCUCGGUGGUGUUCAUUCUCAUCUGCUGCUUUAUCAUU
rnacentral:sRNA from 1 species